AGGGCGCAGGGCGAAUGCCUUGGCACUGGGAGCCGAUGAAAGACGUGAUAAGCUGCGAUAAGCUUCGGGGAGCUGCAAAUAAGCAUUGAUCCGGAGAUUUCUGAAUGAGGAAACUCACCUGGGUUCAUACUCAGGUACAAUACACUGAAAUUUAAAAUAGGUGUAUUGAGGGAACCGCCUGAACUGAAACAUCUAAGUAGGGCGAGGAAGAGACAUCAAACGAGAUUCCGUAAGUAGUGGCGAGCGAACGCGGAAGAGGGCAAACCGAGAGUAGAAAUACUUUCGGGGUACGGACUGCUUUUAAGACUUAAUCUGUUAACCGAACGGCAUGGGAAGGCCGGUCAGAGAGUGUGAGAACCACGUAGGUGAAAACGGAGAGAGCUGCGCAGGAUCCAGAGUACGGCCAGACACGUGAAACCUGGUCGGAAUACGGGGGGACCACCCUCCAACCCUAAAUACUACCCAGUGACCGAUAGCGUAUAGUACUGUGAAGGAAAGGUGAAAAGCACCCCGGGAGGGGAGUGAAAAAGAACCUGAAACCCUGUGCCUACAAGCACCUAGAGCGCGUCAAUGCGUGAUAGGGUACUUUUUGUAGAACGGUCCGGCGAGCGAUUGUAUGCAGCAAGGUUAAGGACUUAAGGUCUGGAGCCGAAGCGAAAGCGAGUUUGAAAAGGGCGUUAAGUUGCAUAUAAUGGGCCCGAAACCGGGUGACCUACCCAUGGUCAGGUUGAAGUGGAAGUAAAAUUCCAUGGAGGACCGAACCGACCUCCGUUGAAAAGGCGGCGGAUGAACUGUGGGUAGCGGAGAAAUUCCAAUCGAACCCGGAGAUAGCUGGUUCUCCCCGAAAUAGUUUUAGGACUAGCCUCAAGUUAGAUACCUGGAGGUAAAGCACUGAAUAGCCUAGCGGCCGAGAGGUUAGCGAAGCUUAUCAAACUCAGAAUGCCAGAGUAUUGAUGCUUGGGAGUCAGACAGUGUCAGAUAAAUGUCAUUGUCAAAAGGGAAACAGCCCAGAUCUACAGCUAAGGUCCCAAAGUCAGGUUAAGUGGAAAACGAUGUGAAGAUACGCAGACAACCAGGAUGUUGGCUCAGAAGCAGCCACUCAUUCAAAGAGUGCGUAAUAGCUCACUGGUCGAGCGUCUUUGCGCGGAGAAUUUAACGGGGCUAAACCUGACACCGAAGCUUAGGCAAUACAGCAAUGUAUUGGGUAGGGGAGCGUUGUAUACGCGGAGAAACAGUAGCGUAAGCGGCUGUGGAGUGUAUAGAAGUGAGAAUGCCGGAAUGAGUAGCGCGAAUGCAGUGAGAAUCUGCAUGGCCGAAAGCCUCAGGUUUCUGGAGGAAGGUUCGUCCGCUCCAGGUUAGUCGGGAGCUAAGGUGAGGCCGAAAGGCGUAGCCGAUGCACAGACGGUAGAGAUUCCGUCACCACCAAAAGAGUUAAGCACAGGGACACAUAUGAAGUCUCAGAGCCGGGUGUUGGUUCCGGUAGAGAUCGAGGGAAAUUAGUACCGAAGUCUGAGAUGGAAGAUGGCGAGAAAAGCUGUGUGUAUUUCUGAGGUGCCCGUACCGCAAACCGACACAGGUAGGUAGGAAGAAGAUUCUAAGGCCAACGGGAGAAGGGUUGUUAAGGAACUCGGCAAAUUGACCCCGUAACUUCGGGAGAAGGGGUGCUCCAGAGAUGGAGCCGCAGAGAAUCGGCCCAAGCAACUGUUUACCAAAAACACAGGUUUGUGCUAAAUCGAAAGAUGACGUAUACGAGCUGACGCCUGCCCGGUGCUGGAAGGUUAAAAGGAGAUGUGCAAGCAUUGAAUUGAAGCCCCAGUGAACGGCGGCCGUAACUAUAACGGUCCUAAGGUAGCGAAAUUCCUUGUCAGGUAAGUUCUGACCCGCAUGAAAGGCGUAAUGAUUUGGGCACUGUCUCAACAGCCCGCCCGGCGAAAUUGUAGUACCGGUGAAGAUGCCGGUUACCCGCGACAAGACGGAAAGACCCCAUGGAGCUUUACUGUAGCCUAAUAUUGGGUUUCGAUGUUGCAUGCACAGGAUAGAUGGGACUCUUGGAAACCAAGGCUUUGGCUUUGGCGGAGAGGCCGUUGGGAUACCAUCCUUGCGAUAUUGGAAUUCUAACCUGCGGCUCUGAAUCGAGUCGGGGGACAUUGUUAGGUGGGCAGUUUGACUGGGGCGGUCGCCUCCUAAAGAGUAACGGAGGCGUUCAAAGGUUCGCUCAGCUUGAACGGAAAUCAAGCAAAAGAGUGCAAACGCAGAAGCGAGCCUAACUGCGAGACUGACGGGUCGAGCAGUAACGAAAGUUGGAGUUAGUGAUCCGGUGGUAUGUGAGUGGAAAUGCCAUCGCUCAACGGAUAAAAGUUACCCUGGGGAUAACAGGCUGAUCUCCCCCAAGAGUCCACAUCGACGGGGAGGUUUGGCACCUCGAUGUCGGCUCAUCGCAUCCUGGGGCUGUAUUCGGUCCCAAGGGUUUGGCUGUUCGCCAAUUAAAGCGGUACGCGAGCUGGGUUCAGAACGUCGUGAGACAGUUCGGUCCCUAUCUGUCGUGGGCGCAGGAUAUUUGAUGGGAGCUGUCCCUAGUACGAGAGGACCGGGACGGACGUACCUCUGGCGCACCAGUUGUUCCGCCAGGAGCAUAGCUGGGCAACUACGUACGGAUCGGAUAAACGCUGAAAGCAUCUAAGCGUGAAGCCGACCCAAAGAUAAGAUAUCCCACUGAUUGAAUCAGGUAAGAUCCCUUGU
rnacentral:rRNA from 1 species